GACGAACGCUGGCGGCGUGCCUAACACAUGCAAGUCGAGCGAGGUCCAUUCGGUAGCAAUACCGAUGAAGACCUAGCGGCGAACGGGUGAGUAACACGUGAGAAACCUGCCCCAAAGUCUGGGAUAACCCGGGGAACCCGAGCUAAUACCGGAUACCUUCUUUUGAUCGCAUGGUCAGCUGAAGAAAGUUUUUUCGCUUUGGGAGGGUCUCGCGGCCUAUCAGUUUGUUGGUGGGGUAACGCCUACCAAGACAUCGACGGGUAGCUGGUCUGAGAGGACGAUCAGCCACACUGGGACUGAGACACGGCCCAGACUCCUACGGGAGGCAGCAGUGGGGAAUCUUGCGCAAUGGGCGAAAGCCUGACGCAGCAACGCCGCGUGCGGGAUGACGGCC
rnacentral:rRNA from 1 species